CCAAGAAGAAAAUGUAGCCAUUGAUGCCAUCUAUCGACCACAGGUUAAAGAUUGGCGAUCCGUUGGAUACCGACCGAGUUAUAGGCAAAACUUGGUGCAAAAAUGAGCCUUAUGAAAUUUUCAAACUUUUAGAAUUUUUUAAAUUUUCUUAAAUUUUUAAUUCUUUUUUUUAUUUAAAACAAUAUUUGAGUGAAAAGAAACUUAUUUCAACCGAUUGGCAUUAAAAUAAAUCAAUUUAAUUUUUUUUGCAAAAUUUCUCAAAAAAUACGUAAGGGGUAAGCCUUAUGAAAAUUUUGAGUUGAAAAUUUUUAAAAUUUUUUUUUUCGAUUUUUUAUUCUUUUUUGUGUUUUUCGCAUUAUUUGAGUGAAAAGAAACUUAUUGCAACUAAUUCGCAUUAAAAUAUAUCAUUUUUUUAAAUUUUGCUAUAUUGCUCAAAAAAUGGUAUGGAAUUUGGUUCCUCGAAUAACUUCUGGCACAGACGUCUGAGGGCAUGGCCGUCCAAGAAGAAAAUGUAGCCAUUGAUGCCAUCUAUCGACCACAGGUUAAAAAUUGACGAUCCGUUGGAUACCGACCGAGUUAUAGGCAAAACUUGGUGCAAAAAUGAAGAAAAUUUUACUUUUUCUCAAACAGGGUAAGGAACUUGGUUCGUCGAAUAACUUCUGGCGCAGACAUCUGAGGGCACGGCCGUCCAAGAAGAAAAUGUAGCCAUUGAUGCCAUCUAUCGACCACAGGUUAAAGAUUGGCGAUCCGUUGGAUACCGACCGAGUUAUAGGCAAAACUUGGUGCAAAAAUGAGCCUUAUGAAAUUUUCAAACUGUUAGAAUUUUUUUAAUUUUCUUAAAUUUUUUAUUCUUUUUUAUGUUAAAACAAUAUUUGAGUGAAAAGAAACUUAUUUCAACCGAUUGGCAUUAAAAUAAAUCAAUUUAAUUUUUUUUGCAAAAUUUCUCAAAAAAACGUAAGGGGUAAGCCUUAUAAAAUUUUUGAGUUGAAAAUUUUUUUUUAAUUUUUUUCCGAUUUUUUAUUCUUUUUUGUGUUUUUGGCAUUAUUUGAGUGAAAAGAAACUUAUUGCAACUAAUUCGCAUUAACAUAUAUCAAUUUUUUAAAUUUUGCUAUAUUGCUCAAAAAAUGGUAUGGAAUUUGGUUCCUCGAAUAUCUUUUGGCACAGACAUCUGAGGACAUGGCCGUCCAAGAAGAAAAUGUAGCCAUUGAUGCCAUCUAUCGACCACAGGUUAAAGAUUGGCGAUCCGUUGGAUACCGACCGAGUUAUAGGCAAAACUUGGUGCAAAAAUGAGCCUUAUGAAAUUUUCAAACUUUUAGAAUUUUUUUAAUUUUCUUAAACUUUUUAUCCUGUUUUUUUAUUUAAAACAAUAUUUGAGUGAAAAGAAACUUAUUUCAACCGAUUGGCAUUAAAAUAAAUCAAUUUAAUUUUUUUUGCAAAAUUUCUCAAAAAAAACGUAAGGGGUAAGCCCUAUGAAAUUUUUGAGUUGAAAAUUUUUUAAAAUUUUUUUUUCGAUUUUUUAUUCUUUUUUGUGUUUUUCGCAUUAUUUGAGUGAAAAGAAACUUAUUGCAACUAAUUCGCAUUAAAAUAUAUCAAUUUUUUAAAUUUUGCUAUAUUGCUCAAAAAAUGGUAUGGAAUUUGGUUCCUCGAAUAACUUCUGGCACAGACGUCUGAGGGCAUGGCCGUCCAAGAAGAAAAUGUAGCCAUUGAUGCCAUCUAUCGACCACAGGUUAAAGAUUGACGAUCCGUUGGAUACCGACCGAGUUAUAGGCAAAACUUGGUGCAAAAAUGAAGAAAAUUUUACAUUUUCUCAAACAGGGUAAGGAACUUGGUUCCUCGAAUAACUUCUGGCACAGACGUCUGAGGGCAUGGCCGUCCAAGAAGAAAGUGUAGCCAUUGAUUCCAUCUAUCGACCACAGGUUAAAGAUUGGCGAUCCGUUGGAUACCGACCGAGUUAUAGGCAAAACUUGGUGCAAAAAUGAGCCUUAUGAAAUUUUCAAACUUUUAGAAUUUUUUAAAUUUUCUUAAAUUUUUUAUUCUUUUUUUUAUUUAAAACAAUAUUUGAGUGAAAAGAAACUUAUUUCAACCGAUUGGCAUUAAAAUAAAUCAAUUUAUUUUUUUUUGCAAAAUUUCUCAAAAAAAAACGUAAGGGGUAAGCCUUAUGAAAUUUUUGAGUUGAAAAUUUUUUUAAUUUUUUUUUCGAUUUUUUAUUCUUUUUUGUGUUUUUCGCAUUAUUUGAGUGAAAAGAAACUUAUUGCAACUAAUUCGCAUUAAAAUAUAUCAAUUUUUUAAAUUUUGCUAUAUUGCUCAAAAAAUGGUAUGGAACUUGGUUCCUCGAAUAACUUCUGGCGCAGACAUCUGAGGGCACGGCCGUCCAAGAAGAAAAUGUAGCCAUUGAUACCAUCUAUCGACCACAGGUUAAAGAUUGGCGAUCCGUUGGAUACCGACCGAGUUAUAGGCAAAACUUGGUGCAAAAAUGAAGAAAAUUUUACAUUUUCUCAAACAGGGUAAGGAACUUGGUUCGUUGAAUAACUUCUGACGCAGACAUCUGCGGACAUGACCGUCCAAGAAGAAAAUGUAGCCAUUGAUGCCAUCUAUCGACCACAGGUUAAAGAUUGGUGAUCCGUUGGAUACCGACCGAGUUAUAGGCAAAACUUGGUGCAAAAAUGAGCCUUAUGAAAUUUUCAAACUGUUAGAAUUUUUUAAAUUUUCUUAAAUUUUUUAUUCUUUUUUUUAUGUAAAACAAUAUUUGAGUGAAAAGAAACUUAUUUCAACCGAUUGGCAUUAAAAUAAAUCAAUUUAAUUUUUUUUGCAAAAUUCUCAAAAAAACGUAAGGGGUAAGCCUUAUAAAAUUUUUGAGUUGAAAUUUUUUUUUUAAUUUUUUCCGAUUUUUUAUUCUUUUUUGUGUAUAAAGCAUUAUUUGAGUGAAAAGAAACUUAUUUCAACCAAUUCGUAUUAAAAUAAAUCAAUUUAUAAAAUUUUGCUAAAUUUCCCAAAAAUAAGCUAGACUGUGCUAACUUUCUAGUCAUCACAUUGCUGAAUGGAACCAAUAAAAUGCUAUCCCGAAUACUUUUCUGCAGACUUGCUCCCCUUUUCUCAUAUUUAUUCGGAAGUUACUAAUCUGCAUUUGUUGGAGGUAAAUCGACCCCCGACCAAAUCUUUACUCCACGGCAGAUCCUCCAGAAGUGCCGAGAGCAUCAGAUCCCUACGCACCACCUAUUCAUUUCACCACUUUAAGGCGGCCUACGAUACCAUAGAUCGGACCGAAUUAUGGAACACCAUGCAGUAGUACACAUUCCUUGGGAAGCUGGUACGGCUGUUGAAGGCCACUAUGGAUGGGUUGCAGCGCAAGGUGAGAGUAUCGAAAAUGCUGUCGGAAUCGUUUGAAUCUCACCGGGGUCUGAGGCAAGAGCAUGGAGUCUCCUGUUUGCUGUUUAACACCGCUCUGAAGGGCCUGCGGAUGACAUCGAAAUCAUCGGACGAACAUCUGCGGCGGUGUACGAGGUCGAUACUAUUAGAUUGAGGUUCAAUACGACGAAGACGAUCUACUUGCUUGCCGGCUCUGACCGUCUCGGAAGCAGAGUAUCAGUUGACGGCGACGAUCUCGAGGUGAUAGAGGAGUUCUGCUACCUUGGUACGAUCGUAACUUCGGACAACAACAUGAGCAGCGAAAUCCGAAGGCGCACUACGGGCUCCACAAACUCCUGCGAUCCAGAAGGCUCCAGCAACACACGAAAUGCAGGAUAUAUCGUACACUGAUACGUCAGGUAGUCCUCUACGAAUACGAGACCUGGACUACGCUAACGGAGGACGCCAUUUUCGGACGGACUAUCUUUGGCGGUGUGUGUGAGCAGGGCGUGUGGAGAAGGAGAAUGAACCACGAGCUAGCUGAGCUGUUUGGCGGUGCAGAUAUCCUGAAGGUUGUUAAAUCCGGAAGGAUACGAUGCCUGGGACAC